rnacentral:rRNA from 1 species
UCCCUACGGGACGCAGCAGUGGGGGAUAUUGCACAAUGGGGGGAACCCUGAUGCAGCGACGCCGCGUGGGUGAAGAAGCGCCUCGGCGCGUAAAGCCCUGUCAGCAGGGAAGAAAAUGACGGUACCUGAAGAAGAAGCCCCGGCUAACUACGUGCCAGCAGCCGCGGUAAUACGUAGGGGGCAAGCGUUAUCCGGAUUUACUGGGUGUAAAGGGAGCGUAGACGGCGACGCAAGUCUGGAGUGAAAGCCCGGGGCCCAACCCCGGGACUGCUCUGGAAACUGCGGCGCUGGAGUACGGGAGGGGG